CUUCCAAGAUGGAUUGCUAGACUUUGAAUUCAGAUCCUUUUCAUCUGUGACUCUGUCAUUUUCAACAUGUGGCUUCAAAAGUCUGCUUCAAGCCAGUGAAAAGAAAACAAAUAUGAAGAAUAGACUUUUCCAGGCCUGGAAGUGGCACUUAUGACUUUCACUCACAUCCCAACAGCCAGAACUCAGUUAUAUGGGAAAUGUAAUCUAACUAUGUGUCCAUGAAGAACAGGACAUCCGGGAAGCAAUUAGCAGUUUUUUCUACAAUGGUAUAGCAACUGGAUCAGUGUGGAGAAUUUACAGGGCAUCAAAGAAGAACCACUCUUCUUUACCCAACAUGGUGGUGUAGGUACACUAGAAACUCUUGGUGGAGGAAUAGGUCAGACCUAUAAGUGAACAGGAAGCCAGUGGUUACAUUUAGGGGGAAAUAUUUGAAAUUCUAAUAAAGUUUUUUCAUUGUCUAAAAUAUACUGAAAGGAAUUUUCUUAAAUGAACACAUUCUUCAAUAAUACAAAGUUGGCAAAUUGGCAGGUUGGGAAGUAGGCAGUAGCAAUGUGAACCAGUUGGAACUAGACAAGAAGCCCAGACUAGAAAAACAAAGCCCAGGCAAAAAUCCAAGAAUGCCAGGGCAAUACCAGCAUGAGAAAUCAGAUAAGUGAAUAGAAACCAGGAAGCCAUAGAAAUUUUGGAGCAGAGUAAAAUUAAAGUUACAAAACCUGGAUGGGAGAGCUGGUCCUACUAUUUACAGAUGGACACAGGAGAACCCGCU
rnacentral:lncRNA from 1 species